AUUGAACGCUGGCGGCAUGCCUUACACAUGCAAGUCGAACGGUAACAGGUCUUCGGAUGCUGACGAGUGGCGAACGGGUGAGUAAUACAUCGGAACGUGCCUAGUAGUGGGGGAUAACUACUCGAAAGAGUGGCUAAUACCGCACGAGAUCUCCGGAUGAAAGCAGGGGAUCGCAAGACUGUGUGCUACUAGAGCGGUCGAUGGCAGAUUAGGUAGUUGGUGGGAUAAAGGCUUACCAAGCCGACGAUCUGUAGCUGGUCUGAGAGGACGAUGAGCCACACUGGGACUGAGACACGGCCCAGACUCCUACGGGAGGCAGCAGGGGGGAAUUUUGGACAAUGGGCGCAAGCCUGAUCCAGCAAUGCCGCGUGCAGGAUGAAGGCCUUCGGGUUGUAAACUGCUUUUGUACGGAACGAAAAGUCCUGGGUUAAUACCCUGGGGUCAUGACGGUACCGUAAGAAUAAGCACCGGCUAACUACGUGCCAGCCGCCGCAGUAACAC
rnacentral:rRNA from 1 species